GAAUGUAGAACGCAUGAGAACAAGCGGCGAGGGAGGAGGUGGGAAAGAAAGAUAGCUCUGCCAGUUUGAAAAGCUCAUGGGCACCUCUGAAUCUUUACACUCUGCCUACCUCUCUAAAUAGACUGGAAGGGCCUCGAGGGGAGGCACCCUUGACAGGAAGGUGCUGCCUUGUCCUUGCCUCACAGCUCCGGGCCCAGGGCAUGUGCGCAGUAACCAAAGGAGGAGCCCAGACCUGGCUGGGCUGGGAGGCAGGGCCACCUGGAGCCAGGACGGAUCCUACCGUGUGAAGUUUGAAAGGAAGCAUCUUGCAGCUCCGUCUAAUUACAGGAACAGAAGAAACUGCAGCUCAGAGAAUGACUGGCCAGGGUCUGCCAGCUGAUGGAGACCGGGGAGAAAGAAGGCAACAUUCUAUGAGACACCAACAGAGACGGUAAAGGAUGCCCCAUCGCCACUAGCACUCCCUUUUUCUGUGGGGGUCUCGCCUCAGUGGAGGCCAGGACUGUGUUUAAACUGCAGCAGGAUGAAUUUGAGUUAGACUUUAGAUGUGAUCCCAGAAUUGGUGGUAGAAUGGAUUGCAGAAAUCUGAAACCUGGAGACCUCAAGACCAGGAGAGUGAGUAUCUGCUUGAGGCUCGGAGUAAAUCCUGCUGAGAAGCCUGUCUGGGAUUCUGUUCCACGCAGAGGUUGGAAAGAGCAGCGCGGCUGCCUCUGGAAAUCUUGUUUCCCCUGCCACAUGACAUCAGUGGGUUAUAUUGCAACUUUCCACAUGGCUGCCCAGACACAGACAGUUGUGUUUAUGAAAAUCCUCCUGAUACCAGCUUGGAGCCUCCCUGGCACUCAAGGCUCCUUCUCAGGCUGCGAUGUGUUCUGCUUAGAGGAGCAGCUGACAAAGGGCAGGUUGGAAGGUCAGGUUCCCUGCCAGGUGCUCAAUGGGGGUGAGGGGGGACGCAAAUCUAAAAUCAGACAGAACAAGGCAAGGAAGAUGUGGCUUCAAGGCGGUAGCCAAUCGAUCAUUCGGCAAACUUUAUUGAGUAUGUACGGGAGCCAGGAGCCGUGCUAAGCCCGGUGGGGUUGAAGAAACCACGCGCUCUGAUCUCCAGGAGCUUACGGGGUGACUGGAAGCUCCAGGAGGCCAGGGACUGAAUGCUUAUCUUGGUUGCUGCUUUGCUCCUGGAUCCAACACAUAGUCCAAUCAUGUGCCUCAUGACUACAUUUCCGUCAAUGACGAACCGCGUAUGUGGUGAUGCUCCCAUAAGAUUAGUACCAUAUAGCCUAGGUGUGUAGAAGGCUAUGCCACCCAAGUUUGUGAAGAUUAGCCCUGAGCUAACUGCUGCCAAUCCUCCUCUUUUUGCUGAAGAAGACUGGCCCUGAGCCAACAUCUGUGCCCAUCUUCCUCUACUUUGUAUGUGGGACACCUACCACAGCAUGGCUUGCCAAGUGGUGCCACAUCCACACCCGGGAUCCGAAUCAGCAAACCCCAGGCUGCCGAAGCGGAACGUGCGCACUUAACUUCUGCCCCACUGGGCCAACCCCCAGUUGUUUGUAAUAUGCCUUUAUUAUUCAUUGAUAUAUGUGGAAUCUGUAUGGUUGCCAUGUCUCUCGUUACUUAUAUUGGUAAUUUGUGUCUUCUCUCUGUUUUUGCUGAUCAGCCUGGCUAAAAGUUUGUCAAUCCUAUCGAUAUUCUCAAAGAACUAACUUUUGAUUUCAUUGAUUUUUCUCUAUUGUUUUCUAUUUCAUUGAUUUCUGUUCUAAUCUUUAUUAGUAUCAGAACACUUUACUUUGCGCUUAAUUUGCUCUUUGUUUUCAAGCUUCUUAAGGCAGAAGCUUAGGUCUUUGAUUUGAUGCUUUAGUCUUUUCUUCUUUUCUAAUAUGGGCGUCUAGUGUUCUGAGUCCUCCUCCCCGUCAUUCUACCAGCCUAGUACUGCUUGAGCGACUUCCCACAAUUUUGAUUAGGUUGUGCUUCAUUAUUACUCAGUUCAAAAUACUUCCUAAUUUUCUUUUUGAUUUCUUCUGUGAUCCAGGGGUUAUUUAAAAGUGUGUUAUUUUGUUUCCAAAUAUUUGUGAGUUUUCCAGGGAUGUCGCUGUUAUUAAUCUCUAAUGUAAUCCAAUUCAAUUGAGAAAAUAUAUGUCAUGUGACUUGAGCUCUGUACAUUUAGUGAGACUUGUUUGUGAUACAGAAUAUGUUCCAUCUUGUGAAACGUUCUUUGUGCACUUGAACAAAUUUGCAUUCUGCUAUUGUUGGCUGGAGUGUUCUAUAGUGUCAAUUAGGUCAAUUUGUUUGAUAGCACUGUUGAAGUCUUCUAUCUCUGUAAUGAUUUUCUGUCUACUUGUUCUAUCAAUUACUGAGAAAGGAGUAUUUUUGGUCUCUAACUAUAAUUGUGGAUUUGCUCAUUUUUCCUUGUAGUUCUGUCAGUUUUUGCUUUAUGUCAUUAGAAGCUCUGUUAUUAGGUACAAAAAUAUUUAGGAUGGUUAUGUCCUCUUGAUGAGUUGACUCCCUUUUCAUUAUGAAAUAACCUUUUAAAAAAAUACCUAGUAAUAUUCUUUGAACUGAAAUCUGCUUUGCAUGACAUCAAUAUAGCCACUCAAACUUUCUUUUUUAUAGCUUUAUUGAGAUAUAAGUUAAACAGCAUAAAUUCACCCAAGUGUAUAAUUCCACAAUUUUUAGCAUAUUUACAGAGUUAUGCAACCACCACCACAAUCUAAUUUUUAGGACAUUUUCAUUACCCCCAAAAGAAGCUUCAAAUUCAUUAGCAAUUACUCUCAUUCACUCUCUUCCUUUAGCUUUAGGCAACCAUUUUCAACUUUUAUAUAUUUGCCUGUUCUGGACAUUUCGUAUAAAUGGAAUCAAAGAAUGUAUGGUCUUUGUAUUUCGGGUUUUAAAAAUUACUUUUAAUUAAAAUUUUUAUUUUGAAACAAUUGUAGAUUCACAUGCAGUUAUAAGAAAUAGUACAGAGAAAGCACAUCCCCCAAUGGUAACAUUUUGCAAAAUGGUAGUACAGUAUCACAAUCGAGAUAUGCACAUUGAUCCAAUCAAGAUACAGAACAUUUCUAUCACCACAAGGAUCCUUCCUGUUGCCCUUUUAUAGCCGUCCCCAUCUCCCAGCCAUCCCCUCCUUAACUUUUGGCAACCACUUGUCCAUUCUCCAUUUCUAUAAUUUUGUCAUUUCAAGAAUGUUAUAUGAAUGGAAUCAUGCAGUAUGUAAACUUUUGGGAUUGGGUUUUUUCACUCACCAUAAUUCUUUGCAGAUGGCUGUAGGUUGUUGCAUGUAGGAAUAAAUUUGUUCCUUUUUAUGGCUAAGUAAUAUUCCAUGGUGUGGAUGCACUACACUUGUUUAACCAUUCAUCCAUUGAAACACAUCUUGGUUGUUUCCACUUUUUGACUAUUAUGAAUAAAAUUGCUAUAAACAUUCAUGUGCAGGUUUUUAUGUGAACAUAAGUCUUCAUUUCUCUGGGAUAAAUGCCCAGGAGUGCAAUUACUGGGUUAUAUGGUAGUUCCAAGUUUAGUUUUUCAAGAAACCACCAAAAAGUUUUCUAGAGUGUCUAUAUGGUUUGCCAUUAUCACUAGCAAUGUACAGUGAUACAGUUUCUCCACAUCCUCACCAGCAUUUGAUGUUGCCAUUAUUUUUCUUUAUUUUAGCCAGUUUGACGUAUGUGUAGUGAUAUCUCACUGUAGUUUUAAUUUGCAUUUCCUUAAAGGCUAAGGAUGUUGGAUAUCUUUUUAUGUGCUUAUUUUCCGCCUAUAUAUCCUCAUUGGUAAAAUGUCUCUGCAUGUCUUUUGCUCAUUUUCUAAUUGCAUUGUUUCUUAACUGUUGUCAGCUGAGGGUUCUUUAUAUAUUGUAGAUAUAGUUCUUUGUUAGACAUGUGGUUUGCAAACAUUUUUUCUCACUCUGUAGCUUAUCUUUUCAACCUUUCACAAGGUCUUUUACAGAGCAAAAGUUUUUAAUUUUAAUGAAGUUUAACCUAUCAAAUUUUGCUUUUGCAAUCUUGCUUUGGCAUCAAGUCUAAAAACUCUUUGCCUAGCCCUCGGUUUUCUCCUAUUUUUUUCUAAAUGUUUUAUAGUCUUACAUUUAAGUUUGUGAUCCAUUUUGAGUUACUUUUUGUAUAAGCUAUGAGAGAUUUAGGUUGAGGCUCUUUUUGUUUUUUUUUUGUUUUUUUUUUUGCCUAUAGGUGUCCAAUUGCUCCAGUACCAGACGUUGAAAAGGCUAUUUUUCCACCAUUGAAUUGCUUUUGCAACUUUGUCAUAAAUCACUUUGGCAUAUUUAUGUGGGUCUAUUUCUGGAUUCUCUAUUCUAUUCCAUUCAUCUUUGUGUCUAUUCCUUUGCCAGUAUCACACAGUCUUGAUUACUGUAGCUAUCUAAGUCUUAAAAUCAAGUAGACUGAUUCCUCCCACUUUAUUUGUCUUUUUCAAAGUUGUUUUAGUUAUUUUAAUUCCUUUGUCUUUCUAAAUAAAUUUUAGAAUAAUCAUCCAUAUAUACAAAAAAUUUGGCUGGGAUUUUGAUAGCAGUUCCAUUAAUUGGGGGAGAAUUAACACCUUUACUCAUCUUUAUUGAGUCUUGCAAUUCACCAAC
ensembl:lncRNA